rnacentral:lncRNA from 1 species
UCCAAUCUUACUUUCAUUGACUUAAAACAGCUGCCGCUUUACGCCGAUUUGCAUGUUCUCUUCCCUCAUCUCGGUGAUUUUCUUCAGACGCGCAUCUAUUGACUGAGGCGCGUCCCUGGGCACCCCCAGCAUUUCCCAGAGUGCAACAUCACCACCAGGAGAUCAAUGACCACAGUCUGUUUAUUCUUCACGCGCCUGGAAGAGCAGGGCACUGAAGCAGCAUGGGAGAUCCAGCACCACAGUCUGGGAAAGCAGUGCAGCUAGAAAUCUGACCCACUGUUGGCUCAUGAUCCCCAUCUAUGUGCUAUGAAAACAGGAAAACUCACGUGGACCUGGCUGGCCCCAAGCUAUUCUGCUGUGCCUGAUGCCGUCAAAAGCAGCUUCAAAUGUGACUACUCUCAAAUAUGUACAGACAGGUGCAUUGACACAACCUUGUUUCAUUCUGACUGAUACAAAUUCAUAUACUUCUCCCCAUGCCCUAGUUUCCUUGGGUUAUGUACUGUCAAACAUCAAGGCUGCAACUACUUGGUGACACUGCCUAUGUGGCCUAAACAAAACAAUGUAGUGGUGAUCUAAAUCAGAUGUCAUAGUACAUCUGUGACUGGAAUGACCUAGAACGUGGGCAUGAUGUUAGAGGUUGGAGCAGCCAUUUUGUGACCAAGAGUGACAAAUAUAUACUAAGGACAGCUCAGAAGAAAUAAGGAAGUGAUUUUGGUUCUAGAAGUGACUAGGAAGUUCCCCAAGAUCCCUUGAUUGCCUACCUCUGGGUUUCUCAUUGUGUGAGACAAAUGAAACCUUUAUUUUUAUGCCACAAUUUUGUUGUUUUCUGUUAUUUGAAACUGAGUUCAGUUGCUAAGUAAACAUUUUUCUUUAGGUCCAGCAUUCUUCUCAUCUUCUGGAAAUUGCUCUCCAUUCUCUAUAUGAACAGGUCUCCCUACCACGUUGGUUUAUGGCCCUUUUCUUCCACAGUCCACCUCUUUGGAGACAGGUAUAGCUGGGAAGAAUAGCCCUUUCUUUCCUCAGGACUCCUUUGUGAGAAUUUAAGCCUAGGAACUGCUUUCAGCGAUGAAUACAAGUUUGUGGUGCCACCCAACCCGAGACAAUGAGGUAGACAUGCAGAAAGAGGCUAAGAAAGGUUCUGAGGGCAUCUGAGGCCGCUAUUCCAGCCUGAGGGGUCAGCUGAGCCACCCUAGUUUCUAUUGUUCACUUCUUUCGUUCUUCUAAUUUUGAUUCAUGCUAGGAUCUUUCCUAUAAAGUUUAUGAAUUUUAUCUUGCUCCAGUUGGUUCAAGUUCACCUUCUGUCAUAUGCAGAGGUAUAGUAACUUAUAUAGGAAUUAGAACAAGCUUCCUGUAAUAGACUGAAUGUUCAUGUCCACUCAAAAUUCCUAUGUUAAAAUCCGAACCUCUAUGGUGAGAGGAUUAGGAUGUGGGGCUCUGGGAGGUGAUUAGGUCAUGAGGAUGGAACCCUCAUGACCUUACAAGGACAUUAAAAAGACUCCAGAGAGCUCUCUCACUCCUUCUGCUAUGUGAGAAUACAGCAAGACCACUAUCUGUGAACCAUGCAGCAGGUUCUCAUCAGAUCAGCCGGCGCCUUGAUCUUGGUCUUCGCCACCUCCAGAACUGAGUGAAAUAAAUGUUUGUUGUUUAA